rnacentral:rRNA from 1 species
AUUGAACGCUGGCGGCAUGCUUUACACAUGCAAGUCGAACGGUAACAGGCCUUCGGGUGCUGACGAGUGGCGAACGGGUGAGUAAUGCAUCGGAACGUGCCCAGAGGUGGGGGAUAACGCAGCGAAAGCUGUGCUAAUACCGCAUGUGAUCUGAGGAUGAAAGCGGGGGACCAGGCAGCAAUGUUUGGCCUCGCGCCUUUGGAGCGGCCGAUGUCAGAUUAGGUAGUUGGUGGGGUAAAGGCCUACCAAGCCGACGAUCUGUAGCUAGUCUGAGAGGACGACCAGCCACACUGGGACUGAGACACGGCCCAGACUCCUACGGGAGGCAGCAGUGGGGAAUUUUGGACAAUGGGCGCAAGCCUGAUCCAGCAAUGCCGCGUGCGGGAAGAAGGCCUUCGGGUUGUAAACCGCUUUUGUACGGAACGAAAAGGCUCUGGCUAAUACCUGGGGCUGAUGACGGUACCGUAAGAAUAAGCACCGGCUAACUACGUG